AGUGAAAACCCGCAAGGGCGCUUUUUGAGGAAAGUCAAGAACAGAAAAGGGGCAUCCGAAGAAAUGAGGUCGUAGGCCAAGUCUUGUAACUCGUCCUCCAUUAAUCAUCGGUUUUCGGGAUCCUGUUAAGUACACUUCAUCGGGGAAGAACUUCUUGUGUCGAGAUUAGGUUUGCUUUGUAAGUUGAUUUUAAUUUCUUGCAA
rnacentral:misc_RNA from 1 species